GACGAACGCUGGCGGCGUGCUUAACACAUGCAAGUCGAACGAAGAGCGAUGGAAGCUUGCUUCUAUCAAUCUUAGUGGCGAACGGGUGAGUAACGCGUAAUCAACCUGCCCUUCAGAGGGGGACAACAGUUGGAAACGACUGCUAAUACCGCAUACGAUCUAAUCUCGGCAUCGAGGAGAGAUGAAAGGUGGCCUCUACAUGUAAGCUAUCACUGAAGGAGGGGAUUGCGUCUGAUUAGCUAGUUGGAGGGGUAACGGCCCACCAAGGCGAUGAUCAGUAGCCGGUCUGAGAGGAUGAACGGCCACAUUGGGACUGAGACACGGCCCAGACUCCUACGGGAGGCAGCAGUGGGGAAUCUUCCGCAAUAGACGAAAGUCUGACGGAGCAACGCCGCGUGAGCGAUGACGGCCUUCGGGUUGUAAAGCUCUGUUAAUCGGGACGAAAGGCCUUCUUGCGAAUAGUGAGAAGGAUUGACGGUACCGGAAUAGAAAGCCACGGCUAACUACGUG
rnacentral:rRNA from 1 species